rnacentral:rRNA from 1 species
GAUGAACGCUGGCGGCGUGCCUAAUACAUGCAAGUCGAGCGAACGGACGAGAAGCUUGCUUCUCUGAUGUUAGCGGCGGACGGGUGAGUAACACGUGGAUAACCUACCUAUAAGACUGGGAUAACUUCGGGAAACCGGAGCUAAUACCGGAUGAUAUUUUGAACCGCAUGGUUCAAAAGUGAAAGACGGUCUUGCUGUCACUUAUAGAUGGAUCCGCGCUGCAUUAGCUAGUUGGUAAGGUAACGGCUUACCAAGGCAACGAUGCAUAGCCGACCUGAGAGGGUGAUCGGCCACACUGGAACUGAGACACGGUCCAGACUCCUACGGGAGGCAGCAGUAGGGAAUCUUCCGCAAUGGGCGAAAGCCUGACGGAGCAACGCCGCGUGAGCGAUGAAGGUCUUCGGAUCGUAAAACUCUGUUAUUAGGGAAGAACAUAUGUGUAAGUAACUGUGCACAUCUUGACGGUACCUAAGCAGAAAGCCACGGCUAACUACGUG